AGGGAUAUAGCUCAGUGGUAGAGUGUUUGCCUAUCUAUGUAAGGGGCCUGGGUUCUAUCCCCAGUACCACCA
rnacentral:tRNA from 1 species